rnacentral:sRNA from 1 species
CAGCCCCAGCGGCGGGCGGUGGAGCCUGGAGAGGGGCCGCGCCCGGGGUCCGACGCGCUGCUUUCCUGGAUCCUGACGCUGGGCAGCUGGAGGAGCCAGUGGCAGGCGGCCUGGGUGACCGCCCUGAACGAAGAGGCCGAGAGGAAAGGGGUGCUCCAGGCCCUGGGCUCCGCGAGGGACAGGCUGGCGGUUGGAGGGACUGUCAGAAGUGCUCAUCCGCGCCAGCCAGUACCUGCCUUGCCUGGCGUCCCGGGGCGAAUUCCCGUGCCCAAUCGGACACUUACUGAGCUUGCACAUGAUACAUGAAUAGCCGUGACCCCAAUGUGCUUCCGCCUCUCAUAGAGCUGAAUUUCACC